rnacentral:rRNA from 1 species
GAUGAACGCUGGCGGCGUGCCUAAUACAUGCAAGUCGAGCGAACGGACGAGAAGCUUGCUUCUCUGAUGUUAGUGGCGGACGGGUGAGUAACUCGUGGAUAACCUACCUAUAAGACUGGGAUAACUUCGGGAAACCGUAGCUAAUACCGGAUAAUAUUUUGAACCGCAUGGUUCAAAAGUGAAAGACGGUCUUGCUGUCACUUAUAGAUGGAUCCGCGCUGCAUUAGCUAGUUGGUAAGGUAACGGCUUACCAAGGCAACGAUGCAUAGCCGACCUGAGAGGGUGAUCGGCCACACUGGAACUGAGACACGGUCCAGACUCCUACGGGAGGCAGCAGUAGGGAAUCUUCCGCAAUGGGCGAAAGCCUGACGGAGCAACGCCGCGUGAGUGAUGAAGGUCUUCGGAUCGUAAAACUCUGUUAUUAGGGAAGAACAUAUGUGUAAGUAACUGUGCACAUCUUGACGGUACCUAAUCAGAAAGCCACGGCUAACUACGUG